rnacentral:rRNA from 1 species
AGCAGCCGCGGUAAUUCCAGCUCCAAUAGCGUAUAUUAAAGUUGUUGCAGUUAAAAAGCUCGUAGUUGAAUUUCGGGGUUCUACCGUUGGUCGGGCUAACCAGUCUGUACUAGCGUGUAGAAUUCCUACCUUCUGGGGGAACCAUCAUGUUAUUAAUUUAGCGUGGUGGGAAACCAGGACCUUUACCUUGAAAAAAAUUAGAGUGUUCAAAGCAGGCUUACGUCUGAAUACAUUAGCAUGGAAUAAUAAAAUAGGACGGUGGUCCUGUUUUGUUGGUUUCUGAAUCACCGUAUGAUUGAUAGGGAUAGUUGGGGGCAUUAGUAUUCAAUUGUCAGAGGUGAAAUUCUUGGAUUUAUUGAAGACUAACUUCUGCGAAAGCAUUUGCCAAGGAUGUUUUCAUUAAUCAAGAACGAAAGUUAGGGGAUCGAAGACGAUCAGAUACCGUCGUAGUCUUAACCAUAAACUAUGCCGACUAGGGAUCGGACGAUGUUAAAUUUUAUUGACUCGUUCGGCGCCUUAC